rnacentral:rRNA from 1 species
UACAGAGGUCCCGAGCGUUUGUUCGGAAUUACUGGGCGUAAAGGGCUCGUAGGUGGCCAACUAAGUCAGACGUGAAAUCCCUCGGCUUAACCGGGGAACUGCGUCUGAUACUGGAUGGCUUGAGUUCGGGAGAGGGAUGCGGAAUUCCAGGUGUAGCGGUGAAAUGCGCAGAUAUCGGGAAGAACACCUAUGGCGAAGGCAGCUCUCUGGGACGGUACUGACGCUGAGACGCGAAAGCGUGGGGAGCGAACAGG